UAUGGUCAUAUCAUGCUGAAACAACAGUUCUCGUACAAUCACUGGAGUUAAGCAACGUCAAGCCUGGUCAGUACCAAGAUGGGUGACUGCUUGGAAAUACCAGGUGCUGUAAG